GUGGCCUGGUCGAUGGCGACAUCGCCGGCUUCGAGCAGGCGGGAUGCGUUGCUAUGCGAGGUGCUCAUGUCGAUCUCCCCGGUUUGGCUGCCC
rnacentral:tRNA from 1 species